GGGCCCGCACAAGCGGUGGAGCAUGUGGUUUAAUUCGAUGCAACGCGAAGAACCUUACCUACUCUUGACAUCCAUAGAACUUUUCAGAGAUGAAUUGGUGCCUUCGGGAACUAUGAGACAGGUGCUGCAUGGCUGUCGUCAGCUCGUGUUGUGAAAUGUUGGGUUAAGUCCCGCAACGAGCGCAACCCUUAUCCUUGUUUGCCAGCACUUCGGGUGGGAACUCCAGGGAGACUGCCGGUGAUAAACCGGAGGAAGGUGGGGACGACGUCAAGUCAUCAUGGCCCUUACGAGUAGGGCUACACACGUGCUACAAUGGCGCAUACAGAGGGCGGCCAACUUGCGAAAGUGAG
rnacentral:rRNA from 1 species